rnacentral:rRNA from 1 species
AGGACGAACGCUGGCGGCGUGCUUAACACAUGCAAGUCGAGCGGAAAGGCCCUUCGGGGUACUCGAGCGGCGAACGGGUGAGUAACACGUGGGCAACCUGCCCCUAGCUCUGGGAUAACUCCGGGAAACCGGUGCUAAUACCGGAUAUGACCUCGAAUGGCAUCCUUUGAGGUGGAAAGAUUUAUUGGCUAGGGAUGGGCCCGCGGCCUAUCAGCUUGUUGGUGGGGUAAUGGCCUACCAAGGCGACGACGGGUA